GGAAUUGACGGGGCCCGGCACAAGCGGUGGAGUCAUGUGGUUUAAUUCGAAGCAACGCGAAGAACCUUACCAGGUCUUGACAUCCGAUGCUAUUUCUAGAGAUAGAAAGUUACUUCGGUACAUCGGUGACAGGUGGUGCAUGGUUGUCGUCAGCUCGUGUCGUGAGAUGUUGGGUUAAGUCCCGCAACGAGCGCAACCCCUAUUGUUAGUUGCCAUCAUUCAGUUGGGCACUCUAGCGAGACUGCCGGUGACAAGCCGGAGGAAGGUGGGGAUGACGUCAAGUCCUCAUGGCCCUUAUAGGUGGGGCUACACACGUCAUACAAUGGCUGGUACAAAGGGUUGCCAACCCGCGAGGGGGAGCCAAUCCCAUAAAGCCAGUCGUAGUCCGGAUCGUAGUCUGCAACUCGACUACGUGAAGUCGGAAUCGCUAGUAAUCGUGGAUCAGAACGUCACGGUGAAUACGUUCCCGGGUCUU
rnacentral:rRNA from 1 species